AACCACAGCCAUGCCACCCUGAACGCACCCGAUCUCUCUGAUUUUGGAAGCUAAGCAGGUCGGGCCUGGUUAGUCCUCGGAUGGGAGACCGCCUAGGAAGACCAGGUGCCGCAGGCG
ensembl:rRNA 5S_rRNA 5S ribosomal RNA